CGCCAGAUAGCUCAGUUGAUAGAGUACCGGACUAGAUAUUCAGAGGGCCCAGGUUCGAUUCCCGGUCUGUUCU
rnacentral:tRNA from 1 species